CUACGUUCCCACCCUCAUCUAUGAGCUUUGGGUCAUGACUGAAAGUACGAGAUCAUGGAUACAAGCGGCCGAAAUGGGUUUUCUCCGUAGGGUGUCUGGGCUCUCCCUUAGAGACAGGGUGAGAAGGUCGGUCAUCUGGGAAGGACUCAGAGUAAAGCUGCUGCUCCUUCACUUCGAGAGGAGCCAGUUGAGGUGGCUUGGGCAUCUGGUCAGGAUGCCUCCUGGACGCCUCCCUGGAUUAUUCUUGAAAUCCACGAGCAGAAUAUUUUAUUCUACAGAUUUAUUGUAUUUCAAACACCAUACGUUCAACACAUAACGUGUAUUUUACGGUGGCACUGAGGUGCAAACCACUUCAACAAAUUAAAAAACACAACAACAUUAACGAGGCACUACAACAUUAACAAAAUGGAAAAGGUAUGUCCAGGUUGGAGAUCUGAGAAAUCGCUGAUUGGACAAUAGGCAUGAAUACAUAUAUACUGAGACCUACUUACAUCACCGCCGUCUUGAAAGUGGCGGUGGAGAGAACGUGCUGCGUGGACUAGUUUCAACGGCGUUUCAGUACAAAGUGGACCCACUGCCUUUACCUUUCACAGGUAAGAAUUAAAGAUAAUAACGUAAAUUUACGAGCACAAUUUCUUGACUUUGUGGCCAGUAUUGUGCAUUUCUGUGGUGAAACAAACUUCUAAACAACCGAGAAAUAUUUCCGUUGUAACUAAAUUGGCCCUGUUAAGUACUCUAUUUUCUUACCGUAGCUAACUUUUUUUUAAAAGUGUGUUGUUUUUCUAAAGAGGCCAUGAGAAACCUGUAAUGGGGUGUUUAUUGUUGCCAUGGUAACCUAGAAGGUCGCAAGACAAGUCGCUGUUGUCUGUGGCCAAACAUGGUUACUUUAAGUGAACCUGAAGUGGACUGAAAGUACAUUAAUCCAGAGAGCAGAGCGGAGAGCGGUGGAUUUCAUCAGGACAGGUCCAUAAGGAUCAGAGCUGCAGCUGUUUUUCUUCAGACUUCUGUUUCACAGUUCAGAAGUCUGAAGUAUUUAGCUGCUUAGUCAAUGACCCAACAUGAUGAAGAUAUGUUGUUUUUUUUCCUGAAUGUGAAUGAAUCAGGGAUUAUUUUCUAUUACACUAUUAGAUCAUUUUUGUCAUUCGCUUUAACCUGUGGUUAACCAGAUGUCUCAGAAGGCCCAGUCCCUGAACUGGUCCCAGCUUGACCAGCAGACUGAACCCCUGCCUGUGCUCUGUGUUGCCAGUAUAAUAUAAAUACAUUUUAAUGUACUGUGCACUUUUUUUUCUUUCACUUUUUGUGUAUUUUAAGUGAAAUAUCUCAAUUUUAAGUAUCAGGGUAUUACGACAGUUUAUGUAAAGAAAUUAAACAUAAUUUAAUCUGUUAAGAUUUCGUUCAUACGGCUGUCUAUAGCACAGUGGACAUAUUACACUGUAAUAAAUAUUUUUGAAAGUAAAAAUAUGUAGCGAAAGUUUGACAACUAUUAUCAAAGUUUGUCUUUACAAUAAAAUGCCUAAAAAUUUAAAUGAAGU